rnacentral:snoRNA from 1 species
ACAGGCCCAGCAGUGUGUGUUUGGCAUAUUUUAAGGGGGAGAGAGACGCACCCUCCUGAGGCACAGCAGAUCUGUGCCUAAGUGGUAGCCUCUCUGUUCCUAGGAACAUGACAGUU